CCCCAAAUGAAUAAAUGGUUGGCUGGAGCAGAAGCAGAUGAUUCUCAUGGACGGACCAGCUAUGGAGCAUAAAGAAACCAAGAACACUGAUCUGAAGCUGUAUCCUGCAAAUGCUGAGCCCAUCGGUGAUCUGUAGGAGGCCCUCAGCAACCAUCAACCUCACAUGAGAAGGAAAGGGUAGAAUUUCCUGGAUGAUAAAGCUGGGAAAAGAUACAGCUCACGUGCACCAAGAACCAGAUAGACCCAGCAGGAUCUGAGAAAUCUCUAGUUCCUGAUCUCUGUCUACAUUUUGCUGGUGAAGGCAACAUCUGAGGCUGUGCCCAAACCACCCUCUCCUUCCUCCCCCAUAAGGAAGUACAGAAAUGGCAGCCCGUUUCCCAAGGGGGAAAACACAGUGCCUUCCCAUCAUUUGGCCUGGAGGCUCAGACCAGCUGUGCACAGCUGUGCACCAUCCCAGCAGCAGAAAGUCCAAGCUUGCUCUUUCUAUGUAAGGACUGAUGCCUUGGGCCUGAGCCUGUCCAGCAGCCACCAAGAUGGAGAGGCGUGAAGAAACCAGACCCUGUAUUUAAUCCCACCCUGGAUCUGUGCUUUCACCAGCACCAUCGCUCCAGCAUUGAACUGGAGAGGCUUCCACACAGACAAAAUUGUAAGAUAUAAUUACCUCUAUUAUCGAAAACAAAGGAGACACGUGCCAGUCUGAAAGAGUAAAGACAUAGCCUCAA